CCUACGGUGUGCAGCAGUGAGGAAUAUUGGUCAAUGGACGCAAGUCUGAACCAGCCAUGCCGCGUGCAGGAUGACGGCUCUAUGAGUUGUAAACUGCUUUUGUACGAGGGUAAACCCCGAUACGUGUAUCGGGUUGAAAGUAUCGUACGAAUAAGGAUCGGCUAACUCCGUUCCAGCAGCCGCGGUAAUACGGAGGAUCCGAGCGUUAUCCGGAUUUAUUGGGUUUAAAGGGUGCGUAGGCGGAUUUUUAUGUCAGCGGUAAAAUGUCCGGGCUCAACCCGGGCCGGCCGUUGAAACUGGGGAUCUUGAGUGGGCGAGAAGUAUGCGGAAUGCGUGGUGUAGCGGUGAAAUGCAUAGAUAUCACGCAGAACUCCGAUUGCGAAGGCAGCAUACCGGCGCCCGACUGACGCUGAGGCACGAAAGCGUGGGGAUCGAACAGGAUUAGAUACCCGAGUAGUC
rnacentral:rRNA from 1 species